rnacentral:rRNA from 1 species
UACGUAGGGUGCAAGCGUUGUCCGGAAUUAUUGGGCGUAAAGAGUGUGUAGGCGGUGCUCUAAGUCUGUCGUGAAAUCUCCCGGCUUAACUGGGAGGGUGCGGCGGAAACUGGUGUGCUCGAGGGUGGGAGAGGUAAGCGGAAUUCCUGGUGUAGCGGUGAAAUGCGUAGAUAUCUGGAGGAAUACCGGUGGCGAAGGCGGCAUCCUGGACCGACAUUGACGCUGAACGGCGAAAGCUAGGGGAGCAACAGG